rnacentral:rRNA from 1 species
UACGUAGGGUGCAAGCGUUAAUCGGAAUUACUGGGCGUAAAGCGUGCGCAGGCGGUUUUGUAAGUCUGUCGUGAAAUCCCCGGGCUCAACCUGGGAAUUGCGAUGGAGACUGCAAGGCUAGAAUCUGGCAGAGGGGGGUAGAAUUCCACGUGUAGCAGUGAAAUGCGUAGAGAUGUGGAGGAACACCGAUGGCGAAGGCAGCCCCCUGGGUCAAGAUUGACGCUACAUGCACGAAAGGCGUGGGGAGCAAAC